ACUGUGGAGUAUAGAAGAACUUGUGAGUAGUAUAUUUAAUUGUGUUAAGUUAUGAAAGCAUAUACGUUGAAGCAGUAA
ncrna:unclassified sequences RAGATH-18 RNA